GUCCAAACCCGGCGUCCCGACCGGAGCUCCUCUGAGAUGCAAAUUGCCCUCCGCCCUUCGGGCCCAGGGCGCCUAUUGUUCUUCCCCGCCGCAUUUCAGAGCCGACCCCUCACCCUGGCGGGGGGGAAGGGCGCUGCGGGGGAGAAAGGGAGUUUCUAAAUGGAAGCAGAGGGCUCUGAAACAGUCCCAGAGGCGACGCGAUUUGCCCGAAGUCUGCAACUUCCUGGAACUAGAAACCAAUCGGAAGACUUCCGCGUCGCGGCUCUUUCCGCCGUGAUCAGGUUACCCAGCGCCUCGGGACCUGCUUUUGAAAAGGAGAGGUCGACCUGGGAGAGCCGCUGAACGAGAUAACUCUUCGGAAUCGGUAACUGCUUAUGGCAGGCGGUGAGAGAGUGGGGGUGAUACAGUGUGGAGCCUGCGUCCCCCCGAAACAUAAUGUCAACACUUUCAAAUUGCCUUCCGAGAUCCCGAAUUUUAGGGGGUGCAUCUUCGGGGGGGGGGGGCCUGGGAGCUUACCUGUUUUGUUUACCCGCCCAAGUGCCUAAUGCAGAGUAGUUACCUAAUAAAUAUUUGCCGAGCGGAUGACUGCACAGCCGAAUGAGCCCCGUUCCAUCAUAGGGAUGUAGGAGGAUUUGCGGAGCCAAGCCCCACCUGGGAGGCACCUAAGUCCUUGCCAGUUUUUCUCAAUUAUGGCUCUGCAACGAAUAUCCUCUGUGCAUAAAUCCUUGACUGCAUCUCUUGAUUAUUUCCUCAGGAUAUUUUCCUCGAAGUGGGAUUACUGGGUUGAAGGGUAUGCACAUAUGUAAGGCUCUUGAUUCAGAGUCCCUCCAGCCGCGCCAGAAUGAGUGAGUCAGCUUCCCAGCAAGCUGGCCAAAACUCGGUAUCAUCGGCCUUCAUUUUUAUUUCUCUCUGUCUCUCUUUUUUCUUUGCCAUCUUGAUAAGAUAAAAAUGAUAUCCCAUUUUAUUUGCAUUUCUUUGUGGACUAAUUAGGUGGAGAUUGGACUAACUUUAAAGAAAUAUUCUUAAGGAGCACCGAGAAAUCCUGUGUGGAAAAGGAGACCGUGACACCAGGCACAUUCUGCCCAGUGAGGUGAAACCAAAGGGCUCCAAUGGUCUGGUGUGAUUUGACCAGAAGAUGUAAACACAUUUGAGCCUUGCUCCAGAGGCUUCCCCUGAGCAAGGGAGGGGAAGCUGUGACUUACUAGCUUCCCUAUGUUUGUUAUUUUUUGUUAUUUUCAUUUCCUGAUGAGGAGUAAAUGUUUCAUAAAGCAAAUGAAAACCCUGUGUAAUUAUCUUUAAGGACAGCAAGAAAAAGUAGAAGUGGGAAAACUAGUUCACUUUAACGUCAUGGGAAAGGGGGGAGGGGGGAGGGGUGAAGUUUGAAGCCUGUUUCCAGGCGGUGGGAGGGAAGUCCCUGAAGAUGGGGCUGGCAGUGGGGCGGGGAGGGAGUGAGCAAGAGGCUUCCCAGGGCUCUGGAGACUUCCUUCUGGAAAGGCUGCUAUGAGUUUGUAGCGCUUAUGAGGCCUGUGGUCCCUGGGGACCUGGAAGGGGCGUUUAAUGGACUUUUGAGGAUCAAAGUCAGAUUGCCAGGGACAAAGGAAGGUUGUGAGGAAAUGGAGGCCACUGCAUCUCCGGCCGUGCUCCGGGAAUGGGGAGAAGGUACCUGUGGCAUUCUCCCCGGACAACGGGAGAUGGUGGUCCCUAGAGCUUUUGUGGGCUGUGAAACGGUGGGCGCUUCUCCCCCAGUCAGAGCCGCUCCCCAGCUCUUACGAUAUCGGCUAGGUUCUUUUAUAAACCACACCCGAGAGGAUAACUGAUUUGCCAAUGUUUACAGGCAGUUUUAUUUACUAAUCUAGCUCAUUUACUGUCAACUAAAUUUAUAGUCCUAAUUACAGUCCUCAGCAUUUUCCUGAUAAUAAACAUACAGGAUGUGUUUUA